rnacentral:rRNA from 1 species
AGUGAACGCUGGCGGUAGGCCUAACACAUGCAAGUCGAACGGCAGCACAGUAAGAGCUUGCUCUUACGGGUGGCGAGUGGCGGACGGGUGAGGAAUACAUCGGAAUCUACUUUUUCGUGGGGGAUAACGUAGGGAAACUUACGCUAAUACCGCAUACGACCUACGGGUGAAAGCAUGGGAUCUUCGGACCUUGCGCGAUUGAAUGAGCCGAUGUCGGAUUAGCUAGUUGGCGGGGUAAAGGCCCACCAAGGCGACGAUCCGUAGCUGGUCUGAGAGGAUGAUCAGCGACACUGGAACUGAGACACGGUCCAGACUCCUACGGGAGGCAGCAGUGGGGAAUAUUGGACAAUGGGCGCAAGCCUGAUCCAGCCAUACCGCGUGGGUGAAGAAGGCCUUCGGGUUGUAAAGACCUUUUGUUGGGAAAGAAAAGCAGCAGGUUAAUACCCCGCUGUUCUGACGGUACCCAAAGAAUAAGCACCGGCUAACUUCGUG